GUAGGUGGCAAGCGUUGUCCGGAAUUAUUGGGCGUAAAGCGCGCGCAGGUGGUUCGUUUAAGUCUGAUGUGAAAGACCCCCGGGCUCAACCCGGGGAGGGUCAUUGGAAACUGGGGAACUUGAGUGCAGGAGAGGAAAGUGGAAUUCCACGUGUAGCGGUGAAAUGCGUAGAUAUGUGGAGGAACACCAGUGGCGAAGGCGACUUUCUGGCCUGUAACUGACACUGAGGCGCGAAAGCGUGGGGAGCAAACAGGAUUAGAUACCCUGGUAGUCCACGCCGUAAACGAUGAGUGCUAAGUGUUGGGGGGUUUCCGCCCCUCAGUGCUGCAGCUAACGCAUUAAGCACUCCGCCUGGGGAGUAUGGUCGCAAAGACUG
rnacentral:rRNA from 1 species